AUUGAACGCUGGCGGCAGGCCUAACACAUGCAAGUCGAACGAGUGGCGGACGGGUGAGUAAUGUCUGGGAACCUGCCUGAUCGAGGGGGAUAACUACUGGAAACGGUAGCUAAUACCGCAUACCAUCAGAUGUGGCCAGGUUGGAUGAGCUGGUGGGUGGGGUAACGGCUAACCAAGGGGACGAUCCCUAGCUGGUCUGAGAGGAUGACCAGCCACACUGGAACUGAGACACGGCCCAGACUCCUACGGGAGGCAGCAGUGGGGAAUAUUGGGCAAUGGGCGCAAGCCUGAUGCAGCCAUGCCGCGUGUAUGAAGAAGGCCUUCGGGUUGUAAAGUACUGUCAGCGGGGAGGCGGUACCCGCAGAAGAAGCACCGGCUAACUCCGUGCCAGCAGCCGCGGUAAUUC
rnacentral:rRNA from 1 species